ACAUUGCAGUGUUAUGGAAAAUGGAAAAAAGACAGAUUGAAAACAUUUAACCAUUUUCGUAAUAAAUACCCAGAAUUAGUGACGUAUGUACCUUUUCAAGAUGAUGACGUCAUGACAGCUUGCAACAAGCGGCAUCCAAAUUUUCUUAUCAACAUUGUUUGGAAGAUAAUCGUCUCUAGAACUGGUGAUGUUAAACCAGCAUUUGCUAUGCAGGCCGUCAUACCAACAAAAUAUGAUAACGGUAAUUUUCUUAAGAAUAUGCAAGCGAAAUUCACUGGUUUGUUGAAAAGUGUAGGUAUAGAAAAAUCAAUUGAGGUAAUACUCCUUACCAUGACAGAAUAAGUGGAGGCGAUGUUGCCGGGGUUUUUUUU